UACAGUACAUGUCUGUGUUGCUGUGAGGAUGCUAAUGUCGCCGUUGGUGAUAAGCACGCCUGGCAUUCAUCAUUCCCUCCAACUCCCAUCACUCUCUUUCUUGUUUCUCUCUCUAAAUCGCCCACUUUUUUCCUGUAAUAUUCCUUCUUUCCCUCUCUAAAAUACUUAUUAUUCUUCUUCCCUAGCCCCACUUCCCACUAUUUUUCUGACUUUUGCCUCCUUCCUCGAGCUUUUCCCAUUCUCUACUUCCAGAAAAUUGUAUGAUUUUCACCAGUUUUGCUUCUUAGAUUGGAUCUGCUGCUGUCAGUUAGAUUCGUCCGACCUUGGAUUUGGCUUCUUCGAUUCCGGAUUUCUGAGUUCAGGGUCGGGUUGGUGUUCUUGGCUUACUGGUUUAUUGAACUUUUACUUAAAUUUGCUAAUUCCGAUAAGGCAUAAUCGAUCAGUUGGCUCUGCUUCUUUUCGGGUUAUUCUUUGUUUCGAGCUUGGUCAUUGAAGAUAAGAAAGUAGAAAAAUAGUAUGGCUGUUUCCAUGAGGGACUUGGAUCCCGCUUUCCAGGGAGCUGGACAAAAGGCUGGGCUGGAAAUAUGGCGUAUUGAGAAUUUUAAUCCUAUUCCCAUCCCGAAGUCCUCUUAUGGGAAGUUUUUCACAGGGGACUCCUAUGUAAUCUUGAAGGUGAGCUGUCGAAUUAAAAUAUGUUCUCUAUAGUCUUCAAAAUCAUUUGUGAUCUAUUGAAUGCUAGCCUUCUGUUGGAGUCUAUUGUUGCUCGAAGCUUUUAUUUUGUCUGCUGAUAUAUUGAUGGACAUUGUAAUUUGAUAAAACUGGCUACGCCUAUUCUCAGUAUGGCACA